ensembl:misc_RNA Metazoa_SRP Metazoan signal recognition particle RNA
GCAGGGCACAGUGGCGUAUGCCUGUAGUCCCAGCUACUCAGGAGGCUGAGGCUGGAGGAUCGCUUGAGCACAGGAGUUCUGGGCUGUAGUGUGCUAUGCCAAUAGGGUAUCCACACUAAGUUCGGCAUCAAUGUGGUGACCUCCUAGGAGCAGGGGACCACCAGGUUGCCUAAGGAGGAGUGAACCAGACCAGGUCGGAAACCAAGCAGGUCAAAACUCCUGUGCUGAUCAGUAGUGGGAUCUUGCCUAUGAAUAGCCACUGCACUCCAGCCUGGGCAAUAUAGUGAGAUCCCAUCUCUU